AUUUAUAUAGUUUAACCUUUUAAAACACUUCAUUUUCAAUGAAGAAAUAGGGUUCAUACCCUUAUAAAUA
rnacentral:tRNA from 1 species